rnacentral:rRNA from 1 species
UGACGCUGGCGGAUGUUUACACAUGCAAGUCGAACGGCAGCACGGACUUCGGUCUGGUGGCGAGUGGCGAACGGGUGAGUAAUACAUCGGAACGUGCCCAGUCGUGGGGGAUAACGUAGCGAAAGCUACGCUAAUACCGCAUACGAUCUAAGGAUGAAAGCGGGGGAUCGCAAGACCUCGCGCGAUUGGAGCGGCCGAUGGCAGAUUAGGUAGUUGGUAGGGUAAAGGCCUACCAAGCCGACGAUCUGUAGCUGGUCUGAGAGGACGACCAGCCACACUGGGACUGAGACACGGCCCAGACUCCUACGGGAGGCAGCAGUGGGGAAUUUUGGACAAUGGGCGAAAGCCUGAUCCAGCCAUUCCGCGUGCAGGAUGAAGGCCCUCGGGUUGUAAACUGCUUUUGUACGGAACGAAAAGGUCCUGGUUAAUACCUGGGGCUCAUGACGGUACCGUAAGAAUAAGCACCGGCUAACUACGUGCCAGCAGCCGCGGUAAUACGUAGGGUGCAAGCGUUAAUCGGAAUUACUGGGCGUAAAGCGUGCGCAGGCGGUGAUGUAAGACAGAGGUGAAAUCCCCGGGCUCAACCUGGGAACUGCCUUUGUGACUGCAUCGCUGGAGUACGGCAGAGGGGGAUGGAAUUCCGCGUGUAGCAGUGAAAUGCGUAGAUUGCGGAGGAACACCGAUGGCGAAGGCAAUCCCCUGGGCCUGUA